rnacentral:rRNA from 1 species
UAGUCCACGCCCUAAACGAUGCUUACUAGGAGUUUGGAUUUAUUUGAGCUUCUAAGGGAAACCGAUAAGUAAGCCACCUGGGGAGUACGUUCGCAAUAUUAAAACUCAAAGAAAUUGACGGGGGCCCGCACAAGCGGUGGAGCAUGUGGUUUAAUUCGAUGAUACGCGAGGAACCUUACCAGGGCUUAAAUGCAGUAUGACAGAUUUGGAAACAGAUUUUUCUUCGGACAUAUUGCAAGGUGCUGCAUGGUUGUCGUCAGCUCGUGCCGUGAGGUGUCAGGUUAAGUCCUAUAACGAGCGCAACCCCUAUUGCUAGUUGCCAGCGGAUAAUGCCGGGGACUCUAGUGAGACUGCCGGUGCAAAACCGUGAGGAAGGUGGGAUGACGUCAAAUCAUCACGGCCCUUACGUCCUGGGCCACACACGUGCUACAAUGGUAGGGACAGAGAGCAGCCACUUCGCGAGAAGGAGCGAAUCUAUAAACCCUAUCACAGUUCGGAUCGUAGU